rnacentral:rRNA from 1 species
GACGAACGCUGGCGGCGUGCUUAACACAUGCAAGUCGAACGGAAAGGCCUGCUUUCCCUUGUGGAUUGCGGGUACUCGAGUGGCGAACGGGUGAGUAACACGUGAGUGAUCUGCCCCCAACUUGGGUAUAAGCCUGGGAAACUGGGUCUAAUUCCCGAUAGGACUGCAGGGUGGUGCCUGUGGUGGAAAACGAUUUUCUAGUGGUUGGGGAUGAGCUCGCGGCCUAUCAGCUUGUUGGUGGGGUAAUGGCCUACCAAGGCGGCGACGGGUAGGCGGCCUGGGAGGGUGGACGGCCACAUGGGGACUGAGAUACGGGCCAGGCGACUACGGGAGGCAGCAGUGGGGAAUAUGGCGCAAUGAGCGGAGGCCUGAGGCAGCGACGCUGCGGGGGGGAUGACGGCUGUCGGGUGGUAAACUCCGGUCGGCCGCGAGGAAGCCACCUGGUUGGAGGGGUGGUGACGGUAGUGGGAGAAGAAGCACCGGCUAACUACGUG